rnacentral:rRNA from 1 species
UACCAGCACCCCGAGUGGUCGGGACGUUUAUUGGGCCUAAAGCAUCCGUAGCCGGUUCUACAAGUCUUCCGUUAAAUCCAGCUGCUUAACAGAUGGGCUGCGGAAGAUACUAUGGAGCUAGGAGGCGGGAGAGGCAAGCGGUACUCGAUGGGUAGGGGUAAAAUCCGUUGAUCCAUUGAAGACCACCAGUGGCGAAGGCGGCUUGCCGGAACGCGCUCGACGGUGAGGGAUGAAAGCGGGGGGAGCAAACCGG